rnacentral:lncRNA from 1 species
CUUUUAUAUUUGGGGGCGGGAGGGGAAGGGACUUUGUCUCACAAGUCACAGAGCAGCCUGAUUUCAGCCACAAAGAUAAAGCCUGUCUAAGGUACUAGAGAAUGAAACGGAGAGAGAAACGGAUAAAACACGAUGGGGAAACAAGGAAGCCUGGCGGCGCUGAGAUCACCAUGAAUUCCCCUUGUUAAGCUCUGCUCGCAGUAGUCAUCGAUGG